AAAUUGAAGAGUUUGAUCAUGGCUCAGAUUGAACGCUGGCGGCAGGCCUAACACAUGCAAGUCGAACGGUAGCACAGAGAGCUUGCUCUCGGGUGACGAGUGGCGGACGGGUGAGUAAUGUCUGGGAAACUGCCCGAUGGAGGGGGAUAACUACUGGAAACGGUAGCUAAUACCGCAUAACGUCGCAAGACCAAAGUGGGGGACCUUCGGGCCUCACACCAUCGGAUGUGCCCAGAUGGGAUUAGCUAGUAGGUGGGGUAACGGCUCACCUAGGCGACGAUCCCUAGCUGGUCUGAGAGGAUGACCAGCCACACUGGAACUGAGACACGGUCCAGACUCCUACGGGAGGCAGCAGUGGGGAAUAUUGCACAAUGGGCGCAAGCCUGAUGCAGCCAUGCCGCGUGUAUGAAGAAGGCCUUCGGGUUGUAAAGUACUUUCAGCGAGGAGGAAGGCGUUGUGGUUAAUAACCACAGCGAUUGACGUUACUCGCAGAAGAAGCACCGGCUAACUCCGUGCCAGCAGCCGCGGUAAUACGGAGGGUGCAAGCGUUAAUCGGAAUUACUGGGCGUAAAGCGCACGCAGGCGGUUUGUCAAGUCAGAUGUGAAAUCCCCGGGCUCAACCUGGGAACUGCAUUUGAAACUGGCAAGCUUGAGUCU
rnacentral:rRNA from 1 species